GACGAACGCUGGCGGCGUGCUUAACACAUGCAAGUCGAACGGUAAGGCCCUUCGGGGUACACGAGUGGCGAACGGGUGAGUAACACGUGGGUGAUCUGCCCUGCACUUCGGGAUAAGCCUGGGAAGCUGGGUCUAAUACCGGAUAGGACCAUGGACUUCACGGUUUGUGGUGGAAAGCUUUUGCGGUGUGGGAUGGGCCCGCGGCCUAUCAGCUUGUUGGUGGGGUAAUGGCCUACCAAGGCGACGACGGGUAGCCGGCCUGAGAGGGUGGCCGGCCACACUGGGACUGAGAUACGGCCCAGACUCCUACGGGAGGCAGCAGUGGGGAAUAUUGCACAAUGGGCGCAAGCCUGAUGCAGCGACGCCGCGUGGGGGAUGACGGCCUUCGGGUUGUAAACCUCUUUCAGUGGGGACGAAGCGCAAGUGACGGUACCUACAGAAGAAGCACCGGCCAACUACGUGCCAGCCGCCGCGGUAA
rnacentral:rRNA from 1 species